rnacentral:tRNA from 2 species
GGGCGUGUAGCUCAAUGGCAGAGCAGUGGCCUUUUAAGCCAUUGGUUAGAGGUUCGAGUCCUCUCACGCUCA